AUCAACACCUCGCUCCUCGCUCUCGGUGCCCGCGCGCCCUUUCCGGCCCCUUCCUCUUUCCUGCAGAAGGGAGUUCCGGAUGCAACAGGAUAUGUUCCUCAGGGAGAUGUCUCUGAUGACCAUCGAGGCAGCCACUGUGAACAGGCCUUCUUCAUCAGCAUUCAUGGACUCUGAUGCAGAUGCAAGUUUCUCUCCCUGGGAUGUUCUCCACUCCAUCUGGGGCUCUGGGUACCAGCCCGCUGAGCUCCCUAUUGUGGCCUGGGAAAGCAGUAGAGGACAACCC